rnacentral:rRNA from 1 species
AUUGAACGCUGGCGGCAUGCCUUACACAUGCAAGUCGAACGGCAGCACGGGUGCUUGCACCUGGUGGCGAGUGGCGAACGGGUGAGUAAUACAUCGGAACGUACCUUAUCGUGGGGGAUAACGCAGCGAAAGCUGUGCUAAUACCGCAUACGCCCUGAGGGGGAAAGCGGGGGACCGUAAGGCCUCGCGCAAUUAGAGCGGCCGAUACCUGAUUAGCUAGUUGGUGAGGUAAAGGCUCACCAAGGCAACGAUCAGUAGCUGGUCUGAGAGGACGAUCAGCCACACUGGGACUGAGAAACGGCCCAGACUCCUACGGGAGGCAGCAGUGGGGAAUUUUGGACAAUGGGGGCAACCCUGAUCCAGCAAUGCCGCGUGAGUGAAGAAGGCCUUCGGGUUGUAAAGCUCUUUUGUCAGGGAAGAAACAGCAGCUCUAACACAGUUUGCGAAUGACGGUACCUGAAGAAUAAGCACCGGCUAACUACGUGCCAGCCGCCGCCGUAA